AGGGAACUUCAUAUGCCAUGAGGUGGCCAAAAAAGGAAAGAAAAAGUCUGUGAUCAAAAGUAGAUAAAAUUUAUAGAAUCCCGUCACUCGAUGGAAACAAAUCUGACUAGCAUCCAUGAAGAUGCAGGUUCAAUCCCUGGCCUCACUCAGGGGGUUAAGGAUCUGGUAUUGCAGUGAGCUGCAGUGUAGGUUACAGAUGCAGCUUGGAUCCCUUGUUGCUGCGGCUGUGGUGUAGGCCAGCAGCUACAGCUCUGAUUGGACCCCUAGCCUGGGAACCUCCAUAUGCCACGGGUGCGGCCCUAAAAAAGACAAAAAAAAAAAAAAAAGAGUUGAGAAAACUCAGCAACACCGAUUUCCUUUCCUAGAAAGCUGAAGAUUUCUAGGCAGCGGCUGUCUGCAGCACCCCACUGGGGUCAGGGGUCAGUUCCCGGAGGGAGGAGGGAACACACUGGGUCAUCCUCGCCCUCACUCUCCUUCCAUUCAAGCGGCUCAGUUCCAGCGGGAGGCUGAGAUCAGGACAACCGUCCGACUGCCUGGGAGGUGGGAAAUGUCAGCACAUAGGGAGCCUCAGGUACCCUGGAGACCCCAAGGAGCGGACCCUGAUUCAUACGACAUAAACUAAAAGAAAGGGCUGUUUCAAGAAUACAUGUCAGUAAUCACAACAUGGACAGGAUCAAUAAGCAUAUCACAAACCAGCCUUCACCAAAGUGAUUUAAGUGGAACAUAUCCAAACAGGAUGUCCCUCUUAAGGAUAAACCCUUAUUUCUGCUCAUUUAGCAUUUACUUCAAGUGUGAUCUUAGACGCUUUCUGCAAUUCCUGCCCUAGCAAGGUUUAAUAGGAGCAGUCUUGCUUAAACUGCCUGGUGAUCCUACAGACAAGACACUGUUGGUCUCUUCCUGGAAGGCCCGCUGGUCCCUGUUAAUCCCAACAGCCCGAGGGACCUAGAAUCACCGUGACACCCCCCUUGCCAGGAUGUUUGUUCCACAGCACACGUGAUAAGAGUUCCAACACCCUUUCCAUAGCACUUGCCCUGUCAGCGUGAGAUGAAGGGUAGGCAGAACUGGAAGAGUUAAAACUCUAGAAAGUAACCAUUACAUCUAAGAGACAUGGUGCCUAUCAUUUAGGGGUUUUGGGGGGUUUUUUUGUUUUGUCUUUUUAGGGCUGUACGUGCAGCAUAUGGAGAAUAGGCAAAAAGACAAAUCAAAUCAAAUAAAAAUAAAAAUAAACAAGGCGCAUAUUCAGAAGGACCCUGGUUCCCAAAGUUGGUCUGGGGAAUGGUUACUUUCCCUGCGCUGUUGGUUAGAGUACAAACUGGCACCUCUCCUCUGCAAGGUAAUUUGGUAGUAUCUACCAAGAGCUAUAAAAGUGUUCAUGCUGUUGGACCCAAUAAGUCCACCCUUUGUAAAAAAUGUAUGCUAACCAUACAGUCAGAUAUUCACUGUGAUGUACGAACACAAAUUUGCUUAUGUUCUUCUAGAAUAUCUAGACACAACUCAAAUGGCUAAGGGGCUGGUUAAUAAAUUAUCAGACACUCUUAGGGUGUUCUACUAGGUAGUCUUAUGAUUAAGAAUGUUUUCAAGGAGUUCCCAUUGUGGCUCAAUGGGUUAAGAACCUGACAUAGUGUCCAUGAGGUUGUGGGUUUGAUCCCUGGCCUCAUUUAGUGCAUUAAGGAUCUGGCGCUACUAUGGCUGUAGUAUAGGCCCCAGCUGCAGCCCUUAUUCAACCCCAAGUCUGGGAACUUUCAUAUGCCCCAGGUCUGGCCAUAAAAAGAAACAGAAAGUUUUUGAAAGAAAUUUAAUGACCUGUGGUCAUGGUCAUGACAUAACAUUGAAAGUUGAAAUGCAGGCUACAGAACUCAUAUAGUAUAAUCAUAUGUUUAAAAAAGUAUACACACAUGGGUAAGAGAAAGACUAGAAGAAAAUACACACAUUUGUGUACACACAUACAGAGAAAAGACUAGAAGGAAAUACAAUUUUUUUUUUUUACUUUUGUCUUUUUAGGGCCACACCCGUGGUACAUGGAGGGUCCCAGGCUAGGGGUCUAAUCUGAGUUGUUGGUGCCGGCCUACACCACAGCCGCAGCAACAUGGGAUCUGAGCUGCGUUUUCAACCUACACCACAGCUCACAGCAACGCUGGAUCCUUAACCCACUGGACGAGGCCAGGGAUUGAGCCCACAACCUCAUCGUUCCUAGUCCGAUUCGUUUCCGCUGUGUCAUGACGGGAACUCCAGAAAUGUAACUUUAACAGUGAUUAUUUUUGGAAGGUAGGAUCAUGAAAGUCACCCUUUGCUGUGUUUCUCAGAUGUCCUAGAUCAGUUCUCAAACUUGAAUGUGCAUCAAAACUUCCUGGGGGCCUUGGGAAAACCUCCAGAGUUUUCAAUUUAGGAGGAUGGAGAAGAAAUCUGAGUGUUUACAUACCUAACAAACUCUUAGGAGAUGAUGAGGUCUCUGGUCCAGGGACCACACUUAGAAAAGUCCCUGUUUUUCCAUCCCUGGCCUGGGGACUACAUGCCAUGGGCGCAGCCAAAAGAAAACAAAACAGCACACUUCUGCUCCCUGUUUACCUAUAACAACUUUAAAAAAGUAGUCAAAUGUUUUUCAAAGUUUAAAUUAAAAAAAGCCCUAAAAUGUUAAACCUAUUUAGAGUACUGAAAAAGAAAUCUGCAUUUUUACUGUUUUUUUUUUUUCUUGUCACAGCUGCACCUGUGGCAUACAGACAUUCCCAGGCUAGGGGUCAAAUCUGAGCUGCAGCUGACAGCCUACACCACAGCUUGUGCCAACGAUGGAUCUUUAACCCACUGAGCAAGGCCAGGGAUAGAAGCCACAUCCUCACAGAUACUAGGUCGGGUCCUUAACCCACUGAGCACUACAGGAACUCCGAAAUUUGCAUUUUAAGAUACUAUUACCCCAAAAAAGAAAAAAGGACACUAUUACCAUUUUAUUAAGGCUGUUAAAAAAAAAAAAAAACAUAAAGCAGUAAAUGCUCACCACUAGCAUCAUCUUCAUCAUUAUAAUUGUAAAUAGCUAUUAAUUGAGGAACAUGUAUAAUACACCAGAUGUUGCUUCAGGAGCUUGGCAUAUAUUAUUCUAAGGAGUCACAACCGUUUUGCAUGGAAAAAUAUCAACUAUUAUCUCAUUUAGAAAAGAAGAAGCAACUACUAUUCAGGGAGGCUGAGUCCCAUAUUCAAGGAUACAGGAAUGUAAAAGGCAGAGCUGGGAAUCAAAGGCCAGUUUUCCUGACUCUUUCAAAGCCCUUGACCUUCCCAGUUCAAGACACUUAAAACAUAUUCCUCUUAAAGGUACUGGGAUAUUGUUGGAACAGUCGACAGUUUGAGAUGGUUUAAGGAGCACCAGGGAAGCAUAAACAGAAACAAAUCCCUCACAGGGCCUGGAAUUCUAUCAUCAGAACUGUGAUCACAGAACCACUAUUGCUACCUCUAGGAAUUCUCUUUAUCAUUUAAAUUACCCUGGCAGAAUCAUGUGCUCUGCUGAUACACUUUCAUUAAUACGACAGGGUGAAUAUUUUUAACAGGCUGCAUUAAUAUACAACAUGCACUUCCCUCUUCAGGAGUCAAAACACGGAGUCAAGGGAUUUUCUUUUUUUCUUUUUUUUUUUUUUUUGCUUAAAUUGAUCAUUUAGACAGUGUUUUAAAAGAAU
rnacentral:lncRNA from 1 species